rnacentral:rRNA from 1 species
UACAGAGGUCUCAAGCGUUGUUCGGAUUCAUUGGGCGUAAAGGGUGCGUAGGUGGUGGGGUAAGUCGGAUGUGAAAUCCCGGGCUCAACCCCGGAACUGCAUUCGAAACUGCCUUGCUCGAGUACUGGAGAGGAGACUGGAAUUUACGGUGUAGCAGUGAAAUGCGUAGAUAUCGUAAGGAAGACCAGUGGCGAAGGCGAGUCUCUGGACAGUUACUGACACUGAGGCACGAAGGCCAGGGAGCAAACGG